AGCGGCGAGCGAACGGGGAGCAGCCCAGAGCCUGAAUCAGUGUGUGUGUUAGUGGAAGCGUCUGGAAAGGCGCGCGAUACAGGGUGACAGCCCCGUACACAAAAAUGCACAUACUGUGAGCUCGAUGAGUAGGGCGGGACACGUGGUAUCCUGUCUGAAUAUGGGGGGACCAUCCUCCAAGGCUAAAUACUCCUGACUGACCGAUAGUGAACCAGUACCGUGAGGGAAAGGCGAAAAGAACCCCGGCGAGGGGAGUGAAAAAGAACCUGAAACCGUGUACGUACAAGCAGUGGGAGCCUCUUAAUGGGGUGACUGCGUACCUUUUGUAUAAUGGGUCAGCGACUUAUAUUCUGUAGCAAGGUUAACCGAAUAGGGGAGCCGAAGGGAAACCGAGUCUUAACUGGGCGUUAAGUUGCAGGGUAUAGACCCGAAACCCGGUGAUCUAGCCAUGGGCAGGUUGAAGGUUGGGUAACACUAACUGGAGGACCGAACCGACUAAUGUUGAAAAAUUAGCGGAUGACUUGUGGCUGGGGGUGAAAGGCCAAUCAAACCGGGAGAUAGCUGGUUCUCCCCGAAAGCUAUUUAGGUAGCGCCUCGUGAAUUCAUCUCCGGGGGUAGAGCACUGUUUCGGCAAGGGGGUCAUCCCGACUUACCAACCCGAUGCAAACUGCGAAUACCGGAGAAUGUUAUCACGGGAGACACACGGCGGGUGCUAACGUCCGUCGUGAAGAGGGAAACAACCCAGACCGCCAGCUAAGGUCCCAAAGUCAUGGUUAAGUGGGAAACGAUGUGGGAAGGCCCAGACAGCCAGGAUGUUGGCUUAGAAGCAGCCAUCAUUUAAAGAAAGCGUAAUAGCUCACUGGUCGAGUCGGCCUGCGCGGAAGAUGUAACGGGGCUAAACCAUG
rnacentral:rRNA from 1 species